rnacentral:rRNA from 1 species
GGGGGUUCUCCCCCGUGUACUCUUCUAUGGGCAGGCCAGCAUCAGUCCGGGCGGUUGGAGAAAGACCUGUGUCAUGUAGCUGUUUUCGGGCAGUGUUAUAGGGCAGGUGGAAUGCAACCAGCCUGGACUGAGGUCCGCGCAUCUGCUAGGAUGCUGGCGUAAUGGCUGUAAGCGGCCCGUCUUGAAACACGGACCAAGGAGUCUAACAUCUAUGCGAGUGUUUGGGUGUCAAGCCCGAGCGCGUAAUGAAAGUGAACGGAGGUGGGAACCUUUUAGGUGCACCAUCGACCGAUCCUGAUGUCUUCGGAUGGAUUUGAGUAAGAGCAUAGCUGUUGGGACCCGAAAGAUGGUGAACUAUGCCUGAAUAGGGUGAAGCCAGAGGAAACUCUGGUGGAGGCUCGCAGCGGUUCUGACGUGCAAAUCGAUCGUCAAAUUUGGGCAUAGGGGCGAAAGACUAAUCGAACUAUCUAGUAGCUGGUUCCUGCCGAAGUUUCCCUCAGGAUAGCAGUAACGUUUUCAGUUUUAUGAGGUAAAGCGAAUGAUUAGAGGCCUGGGGGUUGAAACAACCUUCACCUAUUCUCAAACUUUAAAUAUGUAAGAAGUCCUUGUUUCUUAAUUGAACGUGGACAUUUGAAUGUAUCGUUACUAGUGGGCCAUUUUUGGUAAGCAGAACUGGCGAUGCGGGAUGAACCGAACGCGGGGUUAAGGUGCCAGAAUGCACGCUCAUCAGACACCACAAAAGGUGUUGGUUCAUCUAG